GGGGGGGGGUACAUGAGAAGGAGGAAAGGACCACGGGGGAUAAAUUGUGAAAAAAGAAAAGAGGGCAGCUAUGGAUGAUGGUGAUGAUAGGUGAUUAGAGAGGACGAGAGGGAGGAAAACAAGCAUAUGGGGUGUCAAUGCAGGGAAAUAAUGUUUGUCAUGCAUGCAUACACACGUGUGCAUGUGUGUGUGUGUGUGUUUUUAUGCGCCCCCCGCCCCUUUCGCUGCCACCCGCUCCCUCAUCAAAGGAUGUAACCACAAGGCGUCAUGCUGUUCCACCCAGAUCGCUUCCCUCCCUCCUCCCUUCAUCCAUCCUCUUCUCUGCAUCAUCAGUCUCAGUGCACAAGAGCCCUCUUCUGGUGAAAUGGGGAUACUGCAGCCGAGCACUGCGGUCACCCCUCCCUCCCCUUCAACACUCAAAGGAAAACAAGGCGCUCGUCAUCAUAACAAAGCCGGUGGCCAAUUCCCAGCGCACGAAUAAAGCAGGCAAUCAAUUACGCCAGGAGAAAGGAAAUGGGCCGCUCGGCUACUCGAGCCGGUGUGGUGCUCCCUGAGGGCCAACCAAUCCAAACAACACGGCAAACACACCCCUUGGGGGGGUCUUGACCUUUGUGGUCAGCAUGCAGAAGCAUUCCUGAUUUACAUCAGUGGUGGGAAGUAACUAAGUACAAAUACUUUAUGACGGCAAAUAGAGCGAACAUCAAAUAAAAGUUUGAUUUCCAAUAUGCGGUCUCACUAAACUAAACUACAAUAAAUAGAGAAAAAAAAAAAACAUCCACCUGUUUUAAUCCAUCUCAGGGGCGGCCAUUUUGACAUUAUACUGCCCUCUGCUGUUAAGUGAAAAUGACAUCACAGCGUAUAAAGGCUCAGCUUUUUUUUUUUUUUAUAGUAUUUUAAUCCACUAGAUGAUCAUGACAGGAAGCCUAAAGGUCAGCAAUGACUUUGAGCAUUGAGUCGACAUGGGACAAACUCAAAUGUUAUUAGCAUUGGGUGGUGCUUGAAUAGCCAUAUAUGGAAAGGGAUAUUUAAAAAAAAAAAAAAAAAGUCUACACACCCCUGGCCAAAUGCGGAUAUAAAAAAAAUUAGAUCAGGAUAAAACGUUUAAAAAUUUGGUCCACUAUUAACAUGACCAAUUAACAUGUACAAUUCAAUCGAAAAUGUAUUUCUACCUCACCAAUUGUUUUUCAAUGGAGUUGCACAGCUCAUAUGGCACAUUAAAGGUAGAACAAAUUCUGAAAAGAUUUUUCCUCAGUUUGGUGUUUUGGUUGCACGAAAAAGUAAUCAACUGUUCAUCUACGGUUUCCUUUUCUUUAUUGUUUAUCCUCAAUUCUAUAUUCUCAAAUGUAAAAGUCGUAAUGUAAUGAAUUUUGAAUAGCUUGAUUACGGAUUAUUUGAUUCCGUAUCAUCCAAUAAUUGGCCCGUCAUUAGACCUCAAGGGCUCCAAAUGGACUUGAAACAGCCAAUGUUUGACCCACAAGACAAAGCAAAUGGGCGGAAGUGAGAGAUUAGCCGGGAAGGGAAGGAGGAUUUAUAGAUGCUGGGUAGAGGAGAGCUGAGAAGGACAGGGAUGAAAGGUUAACGUCAAGGUCAAGGAUUUGGAGGUUUUCCAAGGCGCCGGGCGGACACGACAGGAACGCGCCACCUCCAUAAUUUUCAUUCACCUCCAAAAGAAGAAUCCACUGCUUCCUUCUUAUCACUUGUUUUUUGCAUCCUACUGGCAGGUGGGCUCAUUUUGGGUUGGUGUUGGGGUGGGGUAGGUGGUGGUGGUGGUUUCUGGGUUAUCCUCAGUCUAAAAAUAGCAGCAGCUGUAGAUUUAUAAUGCAGGACCAGUGAGUGUGUGUAAAAGAGUGGACGGGGUGGGGAGCAAAUGGAGGAAAGAGAGGCGAGAGCGUUACGGGAAAGAGAACGACGGAGCCAGUUGGCAGGCGGGAAGUGACGGAAGGAAGCAAGCCAGGGGCGUUAUGAAAUUGGAGACUUGGCAUGAAUGUGUGCGUGUGUGAUGCUGCGGAAUGCAGAAGAUGGAGCAAGUUGGCAGAGGUGGAGGUGAUGCUGUGUGAGGAAGUCUAGACGUUUAACCGAUACUUCCUGAAUGAGAUCCUGGCCAAUGUUUAACAAUGCAUCUUUGCCUGUGCAUGCGUGUGUGUUGUGCAAUAUGAUUUCUUUAUCAAACCAUCCCCUCUCAGGCCUUGACACACACACACACACACACACACAUAUGCAAGUCAAAGGGUGCAGAAAAAAAGAGCAAGAAGCAUGCCCAUCUGCAGCCUAUGGGGAAACACCCACCAUUG